CCCUCUUUCCUUCGCUCAGGCAUCACCUGCGGGCGCCCGGGGCCUGCGGAGCCUGGUAGGAAGCCGCAGGGUGAGGGAGGUGCAGACUCCGCUGCCUCGGGGUCUGGGGGGGCCCUGGGGGGACGGAGGCGCAGGCCAGUCGCCCUCGGAGGGGACGACGCCGUUGAGUGGCCCGGGCCGGGGCGCUGGCGGGGACAGCGAGAAGCGCACGUGAGCCCGCGGAUUAGAGCUGUGGUCGAGAGCGCGGUCCUGGAGGCAGGAGGGGGUCGAUGAAGGUCGAUUGUCGGAUCAGAGCUGGUUCUAGAAACAUCCCGCGGCGGAGCGCAGGGCGGAGCGGAGCCGGGAGUCCCAGGGAGGAAAUGGCUGAAGUCGUCCGGACCCAGGUUUCCACGUGAGGGCUGUGAACUAGAAGCCGGGGACAAAAGGCCAGCAAGACCAAGAUCACGGCCCAGCAGACAGGCCAACGAGACGGGAUGAGGUGAUCAGUCGUUCACAGGUGAUGCUAGGUUUCCUUUUCAAUGCUCCACUGUGCCCUACUGAGGGAAACCGCUGUCUGAACAGGAAGACUCGACAGAUACCUAACCCGCUUCCCAGCUCCAUCCCCCUGUGUGUGUGUAGCCCAAGAACAGGGAGCUCAUCACUCUCACCUCUAACACCAAGGAUGAUGGUCUUACAAACACAGAUGAGCCCGACAACAGAACCUACAUUCCACCCACUUGAAUCACCAGGGUCUUGUUUAUGUAUCAGGUUGCUCUUCACUAAGCUGGAGAUACUAGUUCAAAGAAAAGGUAUGGAUAUCAUUGUACCACAAAAGAUGACUGCUAUAUAAGGGCCUCACAUACUGUUACAUUUGUGUACUCCUGUACUUCCAAAAUAGCACCAGUCAUUAAGGAGAGGCUUCAACAUCACAUCACCACCUGCUUCUUCCCAACAGAGCCAAAACACACUUCCAGGCUCAUGAACUGCAAAUACACCUUCAGGUCAGUGGCUUUUUAAAUUUUUUUUUUUUUAAGAUCUAAAUUUGCCUUUUUCUCCUAUCAAAGUCACUAUUUUCUGAAGCUUAUUUAAAAUGAAAAACUUCACUAGAGUCAAGUCAAUGAUCCUUUCCUUCUGAUUUCUGUUUUCCUCAGGCUUCUACCUUGGAGGUACCAUUUCCCUCUUCAAGGGGGGCAGGAACAGUCUUACAAGUCACUUACUACGUAAGACCAUGGAAUGAAUGAUGCAGCUGCACAACCAAGCCACGUGUGUGGACACAGCUGUUACUAUGGAUGUGAAAUGGUCAUUACUGACUCCCAACAAUGUCAACCCCCUGCAGCAGGGUUUUAAAUACAGGAAUACGCAAAAAAGAGCCUCGGAGAACCUGCAAAGCCUGUUCGUCCAACACACAUGAAUUUCACUCCAUCAGGAAGACAGCCGAUCCAACUUACCUUAACAAUGAGUCUAAACCUUCCCCUCCCACAUGUCUAGCUCAUCAGAGUUAAGCAGCAGGCAAACGAGACAGACAGAGAGCAGCCUGGAGUCAUCCAGCUUUGGGGAAAAUGGCUCCAAAUGCCUCAACAGCCUAGAAAGUGGCAUUUCAUUUCAGCAAAGAACAACGAAAUGUGUAUAAUGGUGCUCUCAGUCAUCAAAGGAAACCGCCUCCUUCUGACCCCCCAAAACCCUAAAAAACUUUAAAAAAAAAAACAGAAAACCUUAAACAUGAUGUCGCAUAUUGAAUAAAUGGGGCGGAUCUGAAAAUGCCUCCCUGCCCAUUUAAAAAAAGACUAAAUUGUAGUAAAAUGGUAACUCACUGCAACUUUUUUCAUA